GUAGCUGGGUAGGUUUCAGUCCCUGAGAUCCUGAAUGGAAAAAAGAUGGUUUGAAAAGUGGAUGGAUGGAUGUUCAGAUGGGUGGUGAGUGAAUGUAAGUACGACAUGGUGGAGGUUUGAAACUUUGACACAAAGCAAAGGCUUCUGACUGACAAACCUGUCGAGCUUUAACAAUGUAAUGAACUCCAGGAAAAGUCUUCAUUUUUUCAAUCUACUUUAGCUCUUAACUAGCUAUGCUCUCAUUUCAGACUCUGUCAGACUCACCAGGAUGGACCUUUGCAACCAAAACUGAUGUGAAGCCUGGAUCCUCAACCCCCACCAUCCGUUCUUUGGCAACCAAUCAACCUGAUGUUGGUCAACAUAUCCCUCUCUCUCCUCACCCUUCCAUAGGCAUGGACCCUUCCCCAUCACCUCCCGUAAUGAUACAUCCAGAAGCCGCCUUUAUAAUUUUGAACAAUAAAACACAGCCCAGUCAAAAGCCGUCCCCCAUGUCUUUGCCAUCGGUAUUGAUGAGCAAAGAUCUUUCUUCCUUCUUCUCACCAAAACUACAGAAGACAACUCAUUCACAGAUUCUACCUGAUAUGGGGUUUGCCACCCUGAACUCAUUUUCUAUCAGCAAACAGAUCACUUCUUUCAUGAUAGAAGAGUCCAAAGCUCUGGACUCAAAUCUUCCAUCUAAAAGCUUUUGUAACGAUACUCAAUACUUGUCCCUCUCUGGUCCCUCUGCCUCUGAACCCCUUCCACCUCAGCCAUCAGCUGAAUACAGUCAACUUUCCUCUUCUGACACCGUGACACUGCAUCAAUCUGACUUCUUGGUGGGUCAGUGCCUCAUAAAGGGAGCUGAGAUACCUGCAUGCAAAAACACAAACCCUGGUUUAGUACUACAUCCAGCUCCCUCUGCCUCUCUGGGUUUACACCCCCCAUCUUCCUCAAUAACCUACAGCAGUUCACGCAGCAGUGAAACAAACGGUGAAGAUGCAACUUUUUCAGGUUCUGAGAAAGUUCCUGUAACAGAUGCUGAUCAUGAAUCAACUUUAUCUGAGUACUCUGAUAAUGAAGAUAGACUUCCUGCAAUCCUGCUUUCUCUUGAAGUCCCUUGUCAACUUGCUUUGUCAUGCAACUCACACAAUCAACAGGACACUCUGAUAGGUUCAGUUGAUGCAAGACUUUCAAAAAUAGCUAAACCAUCCCAACAACAAGAAGCAAAACCUCCUCAAAAUGACAUAACAAGCUUAGCUCCAGCCCCACAUAUCCAGAACUGUACUUUUUUGGACGUGGACAACAUUCUGCAAUGGAACAUGAACCAAGCGAUGGUAAAUGGGGACUCAGUUUACAUGUCAGACAUGGACAGCUCUGGAUACACAUCAAAAGAAGCUUUUGUCCAAACAGAAACUGACCAGAGGUCUACUAUUCACACCGUCAGUGAUGAUCAUUCAUCAUUAACCAAGCUGGAGCAACGCCAAGAGCUCCGUCAAUCAGGAGCUAUGAGCAAACAAAACAAGUUCAUCCGAUAUUUUGAUGCAUGUGAGCAGCAGGUAGGCCAUAAAACUGAGGUCCAACCCCACGGGCUCAUGGCUCAAUGCCUUGGUGGGGUGCAGGAAACUUCAGUGGACGUUUCAGAUGGUGAAAAUGAGGAUGCAGACUUUUUCCAACAACUUAAUGCUGAGAGCAAAGUCUAUUGGGCCGAACCCGCCCAGAUAACCAUUUCAGCAGAAGAGUUCAACACUUUUCAAGACUCUGAUGCCUUAGUUUCGUCUGAAGACACAGUUUCUCUUUCAAUACUGUCAUCCUCAACUGUAUCUGGACAUGAUGAAACAUCAGGACAGGGAGGUAUGCACUCAGAUCCAUAUUUGUCCAUGCCUAAAUCGCGCUCCUCCCUUUGUGCUGCCACAGAGAAGUCCUCCAAUCCCUCUGUUUCUGGUCAAACAGCCCCCUCUCUAUCAUCUCACAUUGUUCACAGGAAAGAUGUUCCUCUGUUGACUGAGUCAAAACACACCCAUUUUCCGAGUACUCUGACUCUUGACACCUCCACUCCUUUACGUGCUCUUCAGUCGUGGAAAAACCUACAAAGUCAGCGCAAUGCUCUCACCUGUAAACUACCCCAGAGGGAUCUCUAUGCGCUGUCAAGUGAUGAGAGCCAGACACCCACCAGAGGAUCACACAGACCCUCACCGGUUUUCUCUUCAACCACCUCUUUUCCAUUGCUCUGUACUGAUUUGACAUUACACAAUUCCACACCUGUCAUAUUAAGAAAUGAUGGGGCCACCGAAGAUAAAAACUCAAAAACUGCGGACUGGAUAAAGACUCCAGGGCCUGGAGCAGAUGAUGAUAAACAACAGGAGGAGCACAGGAAUGAAACCAAAAGUCAAGACAAACUGGAUAAGAAGGCCAACCUGCAGUGCUGCUGUUCCUGUCACCGACCUCAGAACUGCUGCAGCAGGCAAUACUUCCAUCCACAGCACGUUUCUUGCUCCAUUGAAGAGUGGGAAAAGACGAUGGAAGGACUGCAGCAGUUUCACUCUGUCUUCAAUACCGUGGAGAGGAGGUUCUCUGAGGAGCAAGCGGCAGUGUACAGCAUGCUCUCUGACGCUGAAAGGUGAACAGCGUUACCUCUGUCUCGCCUCAGCAUCCUCACCUGUAGCUCAGCACAGAUGGAGAUGAGGUUACCCAAAACGUAAAGUAAACGUCUGUUUACAAGCAAAGAAGUGCUCAUUGUGCACAGAUUCAUUCUGCUGUGGAGCCAUGUGUGAAACAUGAUGAGCUGGAAUAUCCAUCACCACAGAGAGUCAUUGAUCAGUGUGAAGGAAAUGAAAUCCCUUCAGGUUUAUCUAUUAGUAAAUAAGGUACAAUCUUUAGCCGUCAGUUUGCAGUUCAUUCACCUUGAUGGUCCUAGAUCUAUAAACCUGAUGCCCAGUGUGAUCACUAAUGGCAUAACUGGAGGAUUUGCCCAGAGUGAUGAGCCAUGGCUCGUGUCCAAAUUCCUUCACUACUCACUACAAAGUGCACUAUAUAAGGCGCCCGAAUCUACAAUUCCAAAAUCGAGAGCUCCUUUGAAAUUUCCCAGAAGUCUCUGCAAAAAAUCAGUGUGCAUCGAUUCUCACUAGAUUGGUGAAUAUAGACCACAAUGCAUCAUUUAAACAAUAUUUGUGAAAUAUUGUACUUUGAUUUUUUUUAUAUGAACAAUCCAAGUUUUGAUCAUCAAACCGCGGCCCUCAGGUCCUCUGGCAGACUGUUCCAUAGAUGAGGGCCGUGGUGCUGACAAGAUGCCUCUCCACAGGUUUGGUUUUUACAGGUUUAAUGGUUAACAGACCAGAGCCAGAGGAUCUGAGGUUCUGCGAGGGUUCAAAUUUGACUAAAAGAUCGGAUAAAUAAGAAGGCGCAAGACCGUUAAGGCAUUUAAAAACAGUAUCUUAAAAUCAAUCCUGAAGCAUAUGGGGAGCCAAUGCAGGGGUUAUCAAAUUGGGGUGAUGUGACCCCGCCUCCUGGCCUUGGUGAGAACUUGUGCAGCAGAAUUUUGGAGAAGCUGAAGGUUCUUAAUGUUAGUUUUUGGAAGACCAGCAAGCAGGGCGUUGGAUUAGGAGAAUCCAAUGAUCAGCAAUGGGAAUAGAUACACACCUUUAAUGUCACAGACAAUCCUGCCAGACACACCAACCUUCACUAGCUCCAUGGAUUGUUGGCGUGUCGCAUGGGAACAGUCCGGGCAUGAGGGGUCCGCUUUACUAAUCCCUAGUGUGGAAAAAGCGUGUCUGUCGAAUUCAAGGACCAUAUGAUCAGAUCCAUAUAUCCAAAAUGCAGAAGUUGCAGGAGAAUGAAAAGUGCAGAGGCUCUGGGGAAAACGGGACAAAAAGCCUUAGGAGUGGACUAGCACAGGAGGAGAGAGAAGAAAAGCAUCUGUUUUCAACAAGAACUGAGCAGAAAUGCAAUAUCAUUAUUGUGUGUGUGUGUGUGUGUGUGUGUGUGUGUGCGUGCGUGUGUGUGUGUGUGUGUGUGUCUGUGCGUGCGUGUGUGUGUGUGUGUGUGUGUGUGUG
rnacentral:lncRNA from 1 species